UUUUAGGGAGACCUGUUUCACAAUUGGCACGAAGAUGAGAGUCUUAGUCCGAAAGUGAAAGCAUCCCAAGGUCGUGCGAGGCAGUAGACUUAAACUUUUAAACUAUUAACCGGUUCGGUGCAUGGGCUAUUAGCUCAGGUGGUUAGAGCGCACCCCUGAUAAGGGUGAGGUCCCUGGUUCGAGUCCAGGAUGGCCCAUCCUNUGCACCGGGAGUGAAGUAAACUAUUAACUAAACCUUCAGCACCUUAUCCUGGCAACAAUCAAAACCUGAUUGAUGGCAAGAGAGAAUGCUGGGCGUUAAGUCCAGUCAUGUACCUUGAAAACUGCAUAGCAAAAAGAAGAGAAACUUGAGUAAAUAUCUAGUAGCAAGUACUUAUUUAUUAAGUGCAGGCAGUUAGAGAAGCAAUCAAGCAACAGUAA
rnacentral:tRNA from 1 species